rnacentral:ncRNA from 1 species
CAAUACUUGUCGGAGUGCCCUUUUUUGGGCUGAGACCGUUAAUUCGGGAUCCGUUGAACCUGAUUAGAUUAGCAUCUACGAAGGGAACAAGAGUUCGGAGAUC